GAUGAACGCUAGCUACAGGCUUAACACAUGCAAGUCGCGGGGCAGCAUGGUGGUUGCUUGCAAUCCCCGAUGGCGACCGGCGCACGGGUGAGUAACGCGUAUCCAACCUGCCCUUCACCACGGGAUAACCCGGCGAAAGUCGGACUAAUACCGUAUGUUGUCCAUUGACGGCAUCCGAUUUGGACGAAAGGCUUGGCGGUGAGGGAUGGGGAUGCGUCCGAUUAGCCAGACGGCGGGGUAACGGCCCACCGUGGCUACGAUCGGUAGGGGUUCUGAGAGGAAGGUCCCCCACACUGGAACUGAGACACGGUCCAGACUCCUACGGGAGGCAGCAGUGAGGAAUAUUGGUCAAUGGGCGUAAGCCUGAACCAGCCAAGUAGCGUGCAGGAUGACGGCCCUAUGGGUUGUAAACUGCUUUUAUGCGGGGAUAAAGUGGCCCACGUGUGGGCUUUUGCAGGUACCGCAUGAAUAAGGACCGGCUAAUUCCGUG
rnacentral:rRNA from 1 species